rnacentral:rRNA from 1 species
UAGGGAAUCUUCGGCAAUGGACGAAAGUCUGACCGAGCAACGCCGCGUGAGUGAAGAAGGUUUUCGGAUCGUAAAACUCUGUUGUUAGAGAAGAACAAGGACGUUAGUAACUGAACGUCCCCUGACGGUAUCUAACCAGAAAGCCACGGCUAACUACGUGCCAGCAGCCGCGGUAAUACGUAGGUGGCAAGCGUUGUCCGGAUUUAUUGGGCGUAAAGCGAGCGCAGGCGGUUUCUUAAGUCUGAUGUGAAAGCCCCCGGCUCAACCGGGGAGGGUCAUUGGAAACUGGGAGACUUGACUGCAGAAGAGGAGAGUGGAAUUCCAUGUGUAGCGGUGAAAUGCGUAGAUAUAUGGAGGAACACCAGUGGCGAAGGCGGGUCUCUGGUCUGUAACUGACGCUGAGGCUCGAAAGCGUGGGGAGCAAACAGG